rnacentral:rRNA from 1 species
CCUACGGGUGGCUGCAGUGGGGAAUAUUGCACAAUGGGCGCAAGCCUGAUGCAGCCAUGCCGCGUGUGUGAAGAAGGCCUUCGGGUUGUAAAGCACUUUCAGCGGGGAGGAAGGCGGUGAGGUUAAUAACCUCAUCGAUUGACGUUACCCGCAGAAGAAGCACCGGCUAACUCCGUGCCAGCAGCCGCGGUAAUACGGAGGGUGCAAGCGUUAAUCGGAAUUACUGGGCGUAAAGCGCACGCAGGCGGUCUGUCAAGUCGGCUGUGAAAUCCCCGGGCUCAACCUGGGAACUGCAUUCGAAACUGGCAGGCUAGAGUCUUGUAGAGGGGGGGAGAAUUCCAGGUGUAGCGGUGAAAUGCGUAGAGAUCUGGAGGAAUACCGGUGGCGAAGGCGGCCCCCUGGACAAAGACUGACGCUCAGGUGCGAAAGCGUGGGGAGCAAACAGGAUUAGAUACCCUAGUAGUC